GGUCCUGUGGUGUAGUGGUUAUCACGUCUGCUUUACACGCAGAAGGUAGCCGGUUCGAUCCCGGCCAGGACCU
rfam:Heterorhabditis bacteriophora unplaced genomic scaffold Scaffold1337, whole genome shotgun sequence.